rnacentral:lncRNA from 1 species
GGAUAUUUAAAUAUGAAGCCACAAGUUGUUUACCAUAGGAAUUUUAGCGAUUUAACAUAUUUGCUAUUUUAGAAAAUUUAGAAAAAAUUUUCAUAAUUUAGUCAUGAAAUUAAAAUUUUUCAUUAGAUUUUUGUUACUCAAAUUUUUAGUGUAAGAAGACACACACAUUAGUUUGUCAAGAAUAUUUGCAUAAUGGAAGUUGCAAAAAUGGGGACAGGUGUCCAAUGAAACAUACAGUUAAGAAAGGGCAAAAGAGAAAAUGUACAGAUGAAUCUGAAAUUCAACCAUUAAAAAAAGCUGCACUUCAAAAUGGAAAUAAAGAAGAGUAAGUAAAAUAAUUUACAUAUUGUUCUUACCAGUUGUGCUAUGAAAUGAAAAUAUAUUUUGAAAUCUACAGAGGAAAUAAGAAUUCAUGCCAUAUAAUUACUUGUGAAGUUGGUGCUCGUCCAGCAUUUUCUGAGCAACCGUCAUUCAUAUCACUUGGAGAUUAUGAAGAAGAAAGAGAUUCCAUAACAAAAAUUACCACUACUGGUAAAUCUUUAUUGUUAAUUUCUUACAAUUAUAUACAACUCUGUAUUAUAUUUAUUAAAAAUAUUUUCAAGUCUCAACCCUCUUCGAUCUAAUCUCAUAAUGUAACUAAAAACUUAAAAGUAAUUAUAUUUUUGAUUAAUGUUUAACAGAGGAAUCCAGAUAUGAGAUGAUUUAGUGAGUAUGUUCCUGGAGUAGUUAGAUUUUUUUGUGCUAAUUUCAGUUGAUUAAAAUUAGUCAUAAUAGUUUAUCAGAGUAUUAAAAAAAGUGGGUUAAUUGUUAUCAAGUAGGUAUAAACUUUUUUUUUAUAUUGAUACAAUUAUUUUCUAGGGAAUCCACGUCCACCACCAUUGCGAAUCAGGCCUCUCUUUCUUAAACAGGGCACACUAGGUACUGCGUCUCCUAGUGUCCCAGGUAAGUAAAAUUCCAGAAUGACUGCUGCAAUAGAAUGAAACUGAGAAACGUGCCUUCUCAUAUUUUAACAUUUGAAGAUUGUUUAUUCAAAAUUUUUGUACAGUUGUAUUAAAAUUAAAAGUCAAUUUAAAUUAUGUAUUUAUCUGCAUAUAAGUGAAAUAAAGAGACUUUUUUUUGAUAACGCAAACCAUGACCUUGUUGCG